rnacentral:rRNA from 1 species
GAUGAACGCUAGCGGCAGGCCUAACACAUGCAAGUCGAGGGAGAAGCCUUUCGGGGCAGAAACCGGCGCACGGGUGCGUAACGCGUAUGCAACCUACCUUUCACAGGGGGAUAGCCCGAAGAAAUUUGGAUUAAUACCCCAUAAUAUUGUUGGAUGGCAUCAUUUGACAAUUAAAACUGAGGUGGUGGAAGAUGGGCAUGCGUCCUAUUAGCUAGUUGGAGUGGUAACGGCACCCCAAGGCUACGAUAGGUAGGGGUCCUGAGAGGGAGAUCCCCCACACUGGUACUGAGACAGGGACCAGACUCCUACGGGAGGCAGCAGUGAGGAAUAUUGGUCAAUGGUCGGAAGACUGAACCAGCCAUGCCGCGUGCAGGAAGAAUGCCUUAUGGGUUGUAAACUGCUUUUAUAUGGGAAGAAUAAGGUGUAACGUGUA